UUUCUACGCAGACCACUCCUGACAGUUCUUAAGUAUCUCGGAUGACUAAAAUCCCAGAGCCCUCCUCUCCCAGAGCUUAUCCCUCCUCACAUGAGUUGUAACAUCAUGCGAUGGGCAGGGCCAUGCUGAGGAGAGAUGUGGAUUCCUCAGCCAUAUCUUCAAAUCACAGAGACCUUUGACUAGUGCAGGAGAAAAUGAGCAAAAUCAGUGACGAGCUGAAAUUCUGAUGAGCUGCUGCCUACUAUCUGCUCCUUCCUUUGACUCAAGGCAAAAAAAUCUCAACAGAAAAAGAAAUCCCCCUGGACAGAAGUCGAGACAAGUCCAAGAUGUGUCUGGGAAUCCUGGCUGUAUGAUAGCGUGAUCGUCUCUCUUCUUUCACGUACAUCGUUUCUCCUGACACAGGAAAUGGAAUGGCUUCCCCAAAGCAGCUACAGCGGUUGCUCCACAGGCUGG
rnacentral:lncRNA from 1 species